UUCCGAUGUAAUCCCUCUGUUCCAUUUUAAGUGCAGCCAUGGUUUUACGCGCUCAACUUUAAUCGUCCGUCUUAUUUAAAAAAAAUUAAAAACAUAAGUCAUGAGUAAAGUAUACUAUUCAUAUUUUAUUAUCUCAUAACAAUAAAAAUACUAAUUAUAAAAAAAUUUAAAUAAGACGGAUGAUUAAAGUUGGACAUGGAAACUCAUAGUUGUACUUAAAAUGGGACGAAGGGAGUAUCAUU
rnacentral:pre_miRNA from 1 species